UACGUAGGUGGCAAGCGAUACUCGGAAUCACUAGGCGUAAAGCGCAGGUAGGCGGUUUGGUAAGCCUUUUGUGAAAGCUCCCGGCUCAACUGGGAGAGGUCAAAGGAAACUACCGGACUAGAGUGUGGUAGGGGAUACUGGAAUUCCUGGUGUAGCGGUGAAAUGCGUAGAUAUCAGGAGGAAUACCUAUGGCGAAAGCAGGUAUCUGGGCCAUCACUGACGCUGAGCUGCGAAAGCUAGGGGAGCAAACAGG
rnacentral:rRNA from 1 species